UGGGCAAUUUGGAUUAAUCAAUUAACCUAUCUAAGUAUAUUUAGGGCUUUGGAGCGUGAUGUCACGGGGGUGGGCGUGGAAAGGAUUUUGGCCUGAUGCGCCAUUUUCCGGGUCCAAAGCGCAAGUGAAAAAAGAGCGAAGGCAUACACAACAGCCAUGGUUCGUAUUUGCUGUACUGGCUGCACAGUUCGAUCGCACGACUGGCAAGAGAAUAAGCUUGAAAAUGGUUUAUCUUUUCACUCUUUCCCAACCUGGAAGCAACAUGAGGCAGCUCGUGUAUCGAUGUUGCCAAACGAAGCCAUCUAGUCUGGAUAGCAGCUGUGAGACGAGCUGAUAUCCAGUUCUCUUCUAUCUCCAAAUAUCUGUUGGUGCUCCAGACAUUUGCAUUCCGCAAACCAGCCUAUGACAAGGAUGACAUCGUGACUGGGUUCCAGCGCUACACAAGGGACCUGCUUCAAACAUACUACCAUGCCAGUCAGAUUACUUCUUCCAUGUGAGGGUGAAGAGGUGACCCUUCUGGAUAAGAUGGUGAAGGUUUGCUGCGUUUUGGUGAACAGUGUGGUAGUAAAACCAGGGAAAAUGAAACCUGCUCAUGUUAAAUAUUCUUAAGUCUUUUGCUGUAUAAAUAGCGGUAUUUUUUCAAAAGAUACAGUAAAUAAAGUGCUGGUAGUGGGUGACAUCAUGUAAACACUGUCAUGAUUUUGUGUAAACAUUUUGUCAUUUGUAAACUAUAAAUGACAUGGAUUCUACACUGUAACUGAUGUGAUGUUCUAUAAAGUGGUUUUAAU